rnacentral:rRNA from 1 species
AUUGAACGCUGGCGGCAGGCCUAAAACAUGCAAGUCGAAAGAGUGGCAGACGGGUGAGUAAUGUCUGGGAAACCGCCUGAUGGAGGGGGAUAACUACGGGAAACGGUAGAUAAUACCGUAUAGCAUCGGAUGGGACCAGAUGGGAUUAGCUAGUAGGUGGGGUAAAGGCUCACCUAGGCGACGAUCCCUAGCUGGUCUGAGAGGAUGACCAGCCACACUGUAACUUAGACACGGUCCAGACUCCUACGGGAGGCAGCAGUGGGGAAUAUUGCACAAUGGGCGCAAGCCUGAUGCAGCCAUGCCGCGUGUAUGAAGAAGGCCUUCGGGUUGUAAAGUACUUUCAGCGGGGAGGCAUUACCCACAGAAGAAGCACCGGCUAACUCCGUGCCAGCAGCCGCGGUAAUAC